UGAGUAACGAAAACAUUGGUGAGAAUCCAAUGCCCCAAAAACCCAAGGUUUCCUCCGCAAGGUUCGUCCACGGAGGGUGAGUCAGGGCCUAAGAUCAGGCCGAAAGGCGUAGUCGAUGGACAACAGGUCAAUAUUCCUGUACUACCCCUUGUUGGUACGGAGGGACGGAGGAGGCUAGGUUAGCCGAAAGAUGGUUAUAGGUUUAAGGACACAAGGUGACCCUGCUUUUUCAGGGUAAGAAGGGGUAGAGAAAAUGCCUCGAGCCGCCUCACGGUAUCCAAGUUGAAAGGGAUAAGUUGAACAAGUAUGGUCGUCCUUUAUUGGGAUGUACUAUUAAACCAAAAUUGGGAUUAUCCGCAAAAAAUUGGGGGCUUCGCGGUUGAAU
rnacentral:ncRNA from 1 species